UACGGAGGGAGCUAGCGUUGUUCGGAAUUACUGGGCGUAAAGCGCGCGCAGGCGGCUUCCUAAGUCCGUCGGUGAAAGACCGGGGCUCAACCCCGUGUCAGCCAUGGAUACUGGGAGGCUGGAGACAGGUAGAGGCAAAGCGGGAAUUCCUGGUGUAGCGGUGGAAUGCGCAGAUAUCAGGAGGAACACCAAUAGCGAAGGCAGCUCGCUGGGACGGUACUGACGCUAAGGCGCGAAAGCGUGGGAGCGAACGAGG
rnacentral:rRNA from 1 species